GCAGCAAGAGGAGGAGUCUAGCGUCAUCCACGUUGGUAUAAAUUCAAUUUACUGUCCGCUUUUGCAAAACAGUUUGUGAAAAACAAGAACCCCUACAAGGCUGAAUUGUUAUACUUGUGUGCUGUAAGGAUUUCAGUUGAGUUUUACUGCCGUGGCAGUUGCAGCUCCUCAUCAAACAUGAAAGUCUCCAUCGUCGUCGCUCUAUUGGUGAUUGCAGUUUCCAGCCAAUCGCUGUACAAGAAAGAGUACGCUCCCAAGCAACAGGAAUUUCGCGGCUAUAAUCCGGCAUCCAUUUCCAAACCGUAUAAUACCUAUCCUCAACAUGACUAUAGGUACAAUUAUGUCUACCCUAUCGAAGAAAACGAGCCAGUCUGGGAACCGAAAACUUGGCCAAAAAUCAUGAUAUUCUUGGUCCGAUUGAGAAAAAUGAUUCAUUUUUGAUAAAUAAGGACUAUCAGUUAUUAUCAGUAUAGAGCCAAAAGCCAAAGACUGAUUUAUUGCUUCGCGUUAAACCUUUAUGUUUCAUCGUUACCUGAUUUUUGAACAUUUAUGAGUACUUAAAAUGGCAGUUAAUUUUUAAAGUUAACUUCCUUGUUCCUCCGUACGUUGAUCUUGAAAGAGAGUAUUGAAAAUAUAAUCUGGUUGGAGCAUUUUUAAGAGACAAAACUUCCGGCAAAAAGAAAUUGUUGGAAUUAGGAUGAGGAUACAGACUGAAGAACUCUCACGAAUCUCUUGAUAUUGUAACCAAAAAGAAAUUGUUGGAAUUAGGAUGAGGAUACAGACUGAAGAACUCUCACGAAUCUCUUGAUAUUGUAACCCAAAUAAAACAUUUAGAAAGUCAAACAAAUUCUGUAUAGCUUAUACUCUUGCCAUUUUGGUUGUAGGCUAUCAUUCAUCACUCAUUAAAACACAGUCGCUUUGAUGUUGGUAGACCGUACAAAUAGUCUAUAUAAUUAACAUCUGGAUUCAUGUAACUGCGUGUAGCUCAGUAUAGAAGAGCUGUCGUCCUUGAAGAUAUCAACAUCUUUAAUAGAAAUGUAGGAAUAAAACUUCUAAUUAAUACUCAGAAGAGAAAUA